rnacentral:lncRNA from 1 species
AGGAAGGCGGGUCCCUGGCUCGGCUCUACCCCCAUGGAUCUAGGUGAAGUCGCUAGACAUUUGAGGAACACAUCCGGGGAAGAAGACACAGGUGGCUGGUCAUGGAGAGCCCGCUGGGGGAAGAGCACACAGACAGGCACCGGCAGGCCAUUGACCAGCGGGACAAGGUGGGCUCAAUGUCAUCACAAGGGUGCUUAAGAGGGAAAGAGGAAGCCAUGAGGGUCAGAGUCAAAGGAAGACUUGAAGAUACUACACUGCGGACUUUAAAGAUGAAGGAAGGGGCGAAAACCAAGAAUGUGGGAAGCCUCUAGAAGCUAGAGAAGGCAAGGAAACAAAUUUUCCACUAGAGCCUCCAGAAGGAACACAGCCCUGCUGACCCACUGUAAUGUCUGACCUCUAGAUGUGUAAGGGUAGUAAGACUGAAAGUCUCAGAAAGGCACUGUUAAAUUCUUAUUCCUCAACUAUGCAACUCAAAACUGGGGUCCUCAGCAGUGAGCGAGGGGUGAGAGAAGACACUGUAUAAACAUGGCACAUCCUCCUGGAAAGUCAACUUUACUCAAAGGUUUAGAAACCCAGCUCAAACUAGCUGAAGCAGAAAAGACAUUACUGCGCCUAUAAGUUGAAACUUUGGAGGGAUAAAUUUCAGAGGUGUGGCUAGAUCCAACGGCUCUCUGGAAAACUCUGUGAAAAAAAUGCUUCCUCAAGUCCAGAAACCAGAAGCUCAGGAAAUUGUUGCUUGGUUCCUCUUGUUAGAGGCAGAGAUUAUUCAACGACCUACAGGGUAGCGUUUGAACAUUGUUACCAGGAAUCUUUACUUUGCCAUCUUCCAAGUCUGUUCUCCUCAGUAUUGGUUUCAUUUACAAGCAGGCCAUCUCUGCCCUCAUGGCAAUGAUGGUCUUUACUCCAGGCUUAAGACCCUUACUAUCUACUAUUUCCAAAGCGGAGAGAGAACUUCCCACACCUAGUGACCUGUGACACAGGAUUUUAUCCUUCGUACAGAGGGAAUUCAGUUGGCUAACAUAAUCUGCCUUCCAAUGGAGUAAGAAUGUCUGGACUCUUUCCUUCACCUACCCCCAAGACAUGGAGGCGUCUAAAAGAUAAAUAAAACUUGGCAACUGACCGAAGGAGGAAGAGGGGAUUUCAGGCAAAAUCAACGCUGUUCACUACGAGGAGACUUCAGAAAGGUUGCCUGCUUCUGGGGAGCAUAGUCCCUGAUUCCUCAAGACAUACGUUUAUUCUUUUCUUCAAUGUCUUUGCCUGCAGUCAAAACAAAACCAUUACCUUUAGCCAAGUUCACACAUUUCAGCCAAAUCCAUAUGCAUCGGAUCAGUUCUGUAGGUUAUGGGUGAGCAUGAACAUAUAAAAGAGGCACCUGCCUGUGCCUAUCUACUCCAUGGAAUUUCAAAAGGGGCCACUUAUGGAGAAUGUCUUUAGGGACAGAACCAACCACCCUGUCUUUCCUCCAACUCUCAAAGUAACUUCUGGCUUUAAUCCUCAAGUGUCUAUGCUGGAGUUUAAGAAAAAUGUUUUUCAUAGAAUUCAUGUGUAUGAUAUUGCAUGAGUUGUCCAUCUUUGUAUAUAUCUCAAGACUUGUGGUGUUAGUUAAAGAUUCAGAGCUCUGUGUCCUGAACACAGAGUAAUACCAGCAUUACUAAGGAUGAUCGUGGGAUUUUAAAAUUCCUCCCUUAGAUAGAUCUUACGAACUUAUGUUACCAAUCAACAUAAGUUAAGACAAAAAGAGCAAAUUUAGAUGUAAAACCAUCUUGGGGCCAGGUGCUGUGGCUCACGCCUGUAAUCCCAGCACUUUGGGAGGCCGAGGCGGGCGGAUCACUAGGUCAGGAGAUCGAGACCAUCUUGGCCAACACGGUGAAACCCUGUCUCUACUAAAAAUACAAAAAAAUUAGCCGGGCAUGGUGGCAGGCGCCUGUAGUCCCAGCUACUAGGGAGGCUGAGGCAGGAGAAUGGUGUGAACCCUGGAAGCGGAGCUUGCAGUGAGCCAAGAUCAUGCCACUGCACUGCAGCUUGGGCGACAGAGCGAGACUCCGUCUCAAAAAAAACCAAACCAACAAACAAACAAACAAAAAAAAA